GUCUAUAUAGAUUCUUAAUAUAAAGUCUAACCUGCCCACUGAGUUAUUAAAGGGCUGCGGUAAUUUGACCGUGCAAAGGUAGCAUAAUCAGUAGUCUUUUAAUUGAAGGCUUGAAUGAACGGUUGGAUGAGGGAAAAACUGUCUCUCCCAUAAAUUGAAAUUUGACCUUUAAGUGAAAAGGCUUAAAUUAACUAAGGGGACGAUAAGACCCUAUAAAACUUAAUAUAAAUUAUAUUUUGUUCUUAAAUUAUAAAUAAUCAUAAUAAAAUCUAGUUUAUAUUUUGUUGGGGAGAUAUUGAUAUAAAUUGUAACUGUCUAAUCUAAAAAACAUAAUUAUUAUUAUAAUGUGAUCCUUCACUGAGGAUAAAAAGAAUAAGUUACUUUAGGGAUAACAGCGUAAUUUUUUCUGAGAGUUCUUAUCGAAGAAAGUAGUUGCGACCUCGAUGUUGAAUUAAAAUUUCAGUUAGGUGUAGCCGCUUAGCU
rnacentral:rRNA from 1 species